rnacentral:rRNA from 1 species
UACAGAGGUGGCAAGCGUUGUUCGGAAUUACUGGGCGUAAAGGGCUCGUAGGCGGCCAACUAAGUCAAACGUGAAAUCCCUCGGCUUAACCGGGGAACUGCGUCUGAUACUGGAUGGCUUGAGUUUGGGAGAGGGAUGCGGAAUUCCAGGUGUAGCGGUGAAAUGCGUAGAUAUCUGGAGGAACACCGGUGGCGAAGGCGGCAUCCUGGACCAACACUGACGCUGAGGAGCGAAAGCCAGGGGAGCAAACGGG